ACGGGGGGUGCAAGCGUUGUUCGGAAUCAUUGGGCGUAAAGCGCGCGCAGGCGGCUUGGUAAGUCAGAUGUGAAAUCACUGGGCUUAACCCAGGAAGUGCAUUUGAUGCUGCCUAUAUAGAGUACGGGAGAGGAAAGGGGAAUUCCUGGUGUAGUGGUGAAAUUCGCGGAGAUUGGGAGGAGCAUCGGUGGGGAAGGGAGUAUGCUGGACCUAUACUGAGGCUCAGUCGCGAAGGCGUGGGCAUCAAACAG
rnacentral:rRNA from 1 species